rnacentral:rRNA from 1 species
GUCCACGCCGUAAACGAUGAGAACUAGAUGUCGGGGGGGAGUUAGCCCUCCGGUGUCGUAGCUAACGCGCUAAGUUCUCCGCCUGGGGAGGUACGGCCGCAAGGUUGAAACUCAAAGGAAUUGACGGGGACCCGGCACAAGCGGUUGAGCAUGUGGUUUAAUUCGAUGCAACGCGAAGAACCUUACCUGGUCUUGACAUCCUCGGAACCCUGCAGCGAUGCGGGGGUGCCUUCGGGAGCCGAGAGACAGGUGCUGCAUGGCUGUCGU